rnacentral:misc_RNA from 1 species
UCCGGCUUGUCACCGGCAGUUUCUCCAAAGUGCCCAGCAUAACCUGAUGGCAACUGGAGACGAGGGUUGCGCUCGUUGCGGGACUUAGCCCAACAACUCACGACACGAGCUGACGACAGCCAUGCAGCACCUUCACGACGGCCCCGAAGGGAAGCUCCAUCUCUGGAGCGGUCCGCCGCAAUUCAAACCCAGGUAAGGUUCUUCGCGUUGCGUCGAAUUAAUCCGCAUGCUCCGCCGCUUGUGCGGGCCCCCGUCAAUUCCUUUGAGUUUUAGCCUUGCGGCCGUACUCCCCAGGCGGGGCGCUUAAUGCGUUAGCUGCGGCACAGAGAACCGGAGAGGCCCCCCACACCUAGCGCCCAACGCUUACAGCGUGGACUAC